GCCUGGGUGGCUCAGUCGGUUGAGCGUCUGACUUCGGCUCAGGUCAUGAUCUUGCAGUCUGUGAGUUUGAGGCUCGCAUCAGGCU
rnacentral:tRNA from 1 species